rnacentral:rRNA from 1 species
UACGGAGGGAGCAAGCGUUGUUCGGAUUUACUGGGCGUAAAGGGCGCGUAGGCGGGCAGCACAAGUCAGUUGUGAAAUCUCCGGGCUUAACUCGGAAAGGUCAACUGAUACUGUGCGACUAGAGUGCAGAAGGGGCAACUGGAAUUCUCGGUGUAGCGGUGAAAUGCGUAGAUAUCGAGAGGAACACCUGCGGCGAAGGCGGGUUGCUGGGCUGACACUGACGCUGAUGCGCGAAAGCCAGGGGAGCGAACGGG